rnacentral:rRNA from 2 species
UAAAACCAGCACCUCAAGUGGUCAGGAGGAUUAUUGGGCCUAAAGCAUCCGUAGCCGGCUCUGUAAGUUUUCGGUUAAAUCCAUGUGCUCAACGCAUGGGCUGCCGAAAAUACUGCAUAGCUAGGGAGUGGGAGAGGUAGACGGUACUCGGUAGGAAGGGGUAAAAUCCUUUGAUCUAUUGAUGACCACCUGUGGCGAAGGCGGUCUACCAGAACACGUUCGACGGUGAGGGAUGAAAGCUGGGGGAGCAAACCGGAUUAGAUACCCGGGUAGUCCCAGCUGUAAACUAUGCAAACUCAGUGAUGCAUUGGCUUGUGGCCAAUGCAGUGCUGCAGGGAAGCCGUUAAGUUUGCCGCCUGGGAAGUACGUACGCAAGUACG